GAUGAACGCUGGCGGCGUGCCUAAUACAUGCAAGUCGAGCGAACGGACGAGAAGCUUGCUUCUCUGAUGUUAGCGGCGGACGGGUGAGUAACACGUGGAUAACCGACCUAUAAGACUGGGAUAACUUCGGGAAACCGGAGCUAAUACAGGAUAAUAUUAUGAACCGCAUGGUUCAAAAGUGAAAGACGGUCUUGCUGUCACUUAUAGAUGGAUCCGCGCUGCAUUAGCUAGUUGGUAAGGUAACGGCUUACCAAGGCAACGAUGCAUAGCCGACCUGAGAGGGUGAUCGGCCACACUGGAACUGAGACACGGUCCAGACUCCUACGGGAGGCAGCAGUAGGGAAUCUUCCGCAAUGGGCGAAAGCCUGACGGAGCAACGCCGCGUGAGUGAUGAAGGUCUUCGGAUCGUAAAACUCUGUUAUUAGGGAAGAACAUAUGUGUAAGUAACUGUGCACAUCUUGACGGUACCUAAUCAGAAAGCCACGGCUAACUACGUG
rnacentral:rRNA from 1 species